UUUCUUUCUGUGCCUUACCCAACACUUGUUCCUUUCACUACACUCCUCUUGUCCAACAUUUUUUUUUUCACCAAUCCGUAAAGUAGAAGUCAAGGCCUUUUGUUUUGUUUUUUUUUAAUUAGUAGCAACUAUUAGCCCCUUACCAACGUGCCUUACCAUUUGCAGGAUGUAAAGCCAGAAUUCCUGAUGUAAUUGGGAGUAAAUUGUAGUCCUAAUCUAGGUAAAUGUUCUUAUGGUCUGCAAUGGUGACACCACAAUACAUGGUGGUCAUAACUGCCACAAGGAUCAGAGUAUGCAAUGCAGUUUGAACCCUCCAGAGCAGCCUUUCUCAACCUUUUUAACAUGGAGGAGCCCCUUAAAAAACAUUCCAGUCUCAGGGAACCCCUAUUGAUAAUUACUUUAUCUACAGCUCAUGGCACAUUAGUAUGAUGGUCACCCAAUUAACUUCUACUGUUGUGAGGCCACACUGUGGUCAUUGGGAAGAAAGCCCUACUAGUUCAAGGAACCCUUAACAACCUAUCAAGGAACCCAAAAGUUUAAUGGAACUCAAGUUGAGAAAGGCUGCUCCAGAGGCAUCAAUGCCGACCUCCUCACCACCCAACUCUGUCUAUGGCUAACAUCAUAGUUCCUCAAAGUGUCGUGCUUUGUGUUUUCUAGCACUUGUGUCCUCCUGGGGUCGUGUGGCUACACACUUGUGCAGUAUUUGAAAUGGGAAGCAGGACAGUGUGAUCAACUGACUUGAUUAUAAAAGGGCAAUUUUAUGGUACUUUCACAAUUUAAUUUCAUAAGUGCAGUUUUUUUUUUGGAAGCACUGGGGGCUUCCCUAUUGAACUGCUUCUUUAUCAUGAAACCUUGACUUGCAUUUUAACAAGUUUACUCCUUGUCAUUGUAGGCCUUGAUUUUCUACAUUUUUUACAUCCUUGUCUCCAGAGUUGCAUGACCCCAUGAACAUUGGUUGUGCUGCCCCUUUAACCACAGACCUUUGUGACCACACAGCUCCUUGGACCGUAUAUAACAGAAAAACAUGUGAUGUCCAUAUAAUCAGAUAUUCAUUUUUGUUGUGUCACCCUUUGUAGGCCCACAUAAGAAAGAAAAUGACACUAGAAAGAGCCUGUACCCACCUGUGAAACUUUGCCCCCUUGGGCUAGAGCCGGUUACACAGAUUCAGGCCUACUUGUGUAUUCUUGUUCAGAGUGAAUAUUUUCUUUUCCCUCAUCAUUUUCCUUGUUCUUUCACCAUUCCUAUCACUUCCAUGAUUAUCACCAUACUUUAGUUCCCCUUUUCAAUCAUCCUGAGUUAUCCUCACAUUUUCCUGGUUCUAGAAUAUAGGACUACAUAAGAAACCAAAACCCAGUUUACUCACUAUCCCUACACUACUUCUCAUUCUCCGUACACCCCAGUCUACAAUUUCUUAAUUCCUAAAUUCUGAAAGUGAUCUUUGUAAAUAAAUGAAUUGUUUUAAGAUAAAGGAAUCAGUUGUUCUA
rnacentral:sRNA from 1 species